ACUGCAACUUAGUUUAUUUAGAACAGUUAAUUUGCACUUAACAAGAGAGAUUCCUCAGUAGC
rnacentral:tRNA from 1 species